GGGCUCACCAAGGCUCGGAUGCGUAGCCGACCUGAGAAGGUGAUCGGCCACAAUGGGACUGAGACACGGCCCAUACUCGUACGGGAGGCAGCAGUAGGGAGUUUUCGGCAAUGGGGGGAACCCUGACCGAGCAACGCCGCGUGAAUGAAGAAGGUCUUCGGAUCGUAAAGUUCUGUUGUAGUUAGGGAAAGCCUGGAAGAGUGGAAAGCUUUCAGUUUGACCCGACUACCAGAAAGCCACGGCUAACUACGUGCCAGCAGCCGCGGUAAUAAGUAGGUGGCAAGCGUUAUCCGGAAUUAUUGGGCGUAAAGAGUGAGCAGGCGGCCGUUUAAGUCUGAAGUCAAAUGCAGUGGCUCAACCACUGUCCGCUUUGGAAACUGGAUGGCUAGAGUACGAGAGAAGUAUGCGGAAUUCCAUGUGUAGCGGUGAAAUGCGUAGAUAUAUGGAGGAACACCAGAGGCGAAGGCGGCAUACUAGAUCGAUACUGACGGUCAGUCACGAAAGCGUGGGUAGCAAAUAGGAUUAGAUACCCUAGUAGUCCACGCCGUAAACGAUGAGAACUAGGUGUAGGGG
rnacentral:rRNA from 1 species